GCUCCAUACAGAGAAAGAGACAGAGCUCUAUACAGAGAGAGAGAGAUUUUGAGAGCUCUAUAGCGGAUGGCAUUGGGCUGUCCUCAGAAUUAUGUGUAUUCGUAUGUUUUUGGCUAAGUUUUGCCAUAUGUAUGUAAGUGUAUGCAGCAUUCGCUGAUUGUUCAGUAAAAUCACUCCACUUAUUAUGCGAGUGAAACUACCGAACAAUCAGACCACCCCAGGAAUAAGUGUGCCUCCAAUUACCGUUCGCAACAAUGUUGCAAAUGGGUAAUUGGCAAUCCAUGCAGUGUAUGCUUUGUCCUCUCG